UGCUGUAUUCCAGUUAUUUUCUUUGUGUGUGUCUGUCGUCUUCAGGCAAAUUUCCUUCCUCUUGCUUUUGAUGCUGAGCUUCGGCAUAACUUUAAGUUGGUGCUCUGCAGUGGGAGGUUUUCUUCUGCUUUACUGAACCAAAAAACGUUGCUGCUGCUUUUUCUCUUCAUCAAAAAUUUUCUCUUUUCAUUUUCAGGAUAAUUCAUAUGUUCUGCUCACAUAAAAUCCAGUGCCACCUUGCCCUCCUUUCCUAUGUGGUCUUGCAGGUGAAACAGCUCUCAGGGAUUUGAAGGAUAAGCCAGCAUUUGUGCUCUGCUGUCUGAUAGCAGGUGUGGAGCUUGAAGGAGACGUGCAGUGAACUUGUCAGGAAAAAUGAUUUUAAGGCUUCUCUGAAGGGAGAAGUUAAUCAGUGCAGUUCAUGUCAGCGCGUUUGAGACUAACUACCCAUACAGAAGAACAAGGUCUAGAAAGUGAAUGGGACUCUUCAUGUCAAAAGACUCCGUUCAAAACCACACGAGCAGCAAGUGGACACGGAGUUCAGGAAGAAAGAGUUCUAUUGGACCCACAUUUUCCCGUUGGCUGUUAACAAAGCGAUGAUCCUUUGUAAGGUAAAUGCUGCUGCGUAUCUCAGCUGCCCAGUGUUCAUCACACUGAAAUCGUGAGCAAUAAGCUAUUUUAAGCAAGGUUAGGCCAAACCGCUUUACAUUUGGGCAGAACAGUAACUUCUCCGUUCAACUCUGUUCGUAAUGAUGACGGUGAUGCCUUGUGAUUGAGUUGUGGAUUUUGUUUUGCAUCACCUUGUAGCUCUCUGGGCAGUGUCACUGCCUGCACUCAGCUGCUGCCAACCCAUUUUCAGACGGCUCACAUUUCAUUUAAAAGAAGGAAUUGUGAGAAAAUGUACAAAUUGGAAAGCAGACACAAAAGGAUGGAAGCGUUACAUGGAGCUCAUGAAAACUACGUAAUGAUCUAGACUUUACCAUUUCAAAACGUUGUGGUUUUAUUUUCAUUUUUUUUCCUCUUAGAAUAUGCAUGCCAAAUGUCCUGUCUUUUUCAAUGAUUUGUAAUAUACAUUUUAAGACUGGAAACUUUUUGUACAACACACUCAAAUAAAUGUUUUGCAUUUUAUUUGUUUAGUUUUGCU
rnacentral:lncRNA from 1 species